rnacentral:rRNA from 1 species
UAGGGAAUCUUCCGCAAUGGACGCAAGUCUGACGGAGCAACGCCGCGUGAGUGAAGAAGGAUUUCGGUUCGUAAAACUCUGUUGUUAGAGAAGAACAGCGCAUAGAGUAACUGUUAUGCGUGUGACGGUAUCUAACCAGAAAGCCACGGCUAACUACGUGCCAGCAGCCGCGGUAAUACGUAGGUGGCAAGCGUUAUCCGGAAUUAUUGGGCGUAAAGCGCGCGUAGGCGGUUUUUUAAGUCUGAUGUGAAAGCCCACGGCUCAACCGUGGAGGGUCAUUGGAAACUGGAAAACUUGAGUGCAGAAGAGGAAAGUGGAAUUCCAUGUGUAGCGGUGAAAUGCGUAGAUAUAUGGAGGAACACCAGUGGCGAAGGCGACUCUCUGGUCUGUAACUGACGCUGAGGCUCGAAAGCGUGGGGAGCGAACAGG